GACGAACGCUGGCGGCAUGCCUAAUACAUGCAAGUCGAGCGGAGUUGAUGGAAAGCUUGCUUUCCUGAUACUUAGCGGCGGACGGGUGAGUAACACGUAGGCAACCUGCCCUCAAGCUUGGGACAACUACCGGAAACGGUAGCUAAUACCGAAUACUUGUUUUCUUCGCCUGAAGAGAACUGGAAAGACGGAGCAAUCUGUCACUUGGGGAUGGGCCUGCGGCGCAUUAGCUAGUUGGUGAGGUAACGGCUCACCAAGGCGACGAUGCGUAGCCGACCUGAGAGGGUGAUCGGCCACACUGGGACUGAGACACGGCCCAGACUCCUACGGGAGGCAGCAGUAGGGAAUCUUCCGCAAUGGGCGAAAGCCUGACGGAGCAAUGCCGCGUGAGUGAUGAAGGUUUUCGGAUCGUAAAGCUCUGUUGCCAGGGAAGAACGCUUGAGAGAGUAACUGCUCUCAAGGUGACGGUACCUGAGAAGAAAGCCCCGGCUAACUACGUGCCAGCCGCCGCCGUAA
rnacentral:rRNA from 1 species